CAUGGAAAUAGGUGAUGCUCAAACCCCACCCCAAACUCUGCUCCUCUGAAUGCUCAAGUAUGCCUCAACCCGAACAACACCCCAAUGUCUCCUGAGAGAAUAAAAGCCUUUCUUCUUCUGAUGGAACCAAGGCCUAAAGCAAGCCUAGCCAGGACCACCCUACAAGAAAUGCAGGAAGAUCUGGGGUGGAAGAGGGGCCUGGUGGGCUCUAUGCUACACAUCCGGAGCGAUGAAAUCUUCAGCUUUGCAGGGAAGCCACGCUGCUCUGCUCGCUCCAGUUGAGCAGGUGCCCAUCCUCGGCUGGACCUGGGCACACAGAUGCACCCUCUUUCCUGCAGGAGCUCACAGCCAGGCUGGGGGUCAGG